rnacentral:tRNA from 1 species
UCCCUGCUGGCUCAGUGGUAAAGAAUCCGCCUACAACGCAGGAGACGCAGGUUCGAUCCCUGGGUAGGGAA